UUGAAAUUGGCAAAAAGAAUCGCUUGAGGAUCACUCGCCUCAGUCUACCAACUUCAUCUCUCUCCUCGUCGCCGCGCUAACAACACCAACUCAAAGCGAGAGAGAUCAGCCGCCGCGAUCGCCGCCGUCCAGCAGAGAGCUUUCCGCCAUGGAAGUCGCUUCCUCUUCUUCUCCUCCUCCGCAGCAGCACUCGUUACGGCUCUGUCGCAUGCGGAACUCAGGUUUCGGGGACUCGAGGAGCUUCUCCCCGCCGCCUCUCGUGCCGUUCUCUGUGCACAAAGGAGCUAAUAGUGGGCACUCUCUUUAUAGACCUUUGAUUCUUAGAAGUUCCAGUAAUUUUUCUUCAAAAUGCUUUUUCCACCACUCAAAGAAGCAAAUCCCUGUUUUACGGCAUCAUCCUACCCGGAAAGUUGAGUUCAACAGGCCAUAUUACUAUGAUAGGUGGUACUCUCAGAGUAGAUUUUAUAGGUAUACUGUCGCAAGAUCUGAAUUGGCUGAAUUUGGGAAUUCUGGUGCAGCUCUUCCCUUGCCAGUGCAUGAAGUAAUUGGUAAAGUGAGAGGAGUUUGCUUCUACACUGUCACCGCAAUUGCCGCAAUUAUUCUUUUUCAGCUAAUGCUGGUGGCACAUCCUUUUGUGCUCCUCUUUGACCGAUAUCAAAGAAAAGCUCAGCAUUUCAUUGCCAAGAUUUGGUCUACAUUGAGUGUUGCUCCGUUUGUUAGAAUUGAAGUUCAGGGAUGGGAGAAUCUUCCUCCACCAGACACUCCUGCUGUUUAUGUUUCCAACCAUCAGAGCUUUUUUGACAUAUAUACUCUCCUCACCCUAGGGAGAAGCUUUAAGUUCAUCAGCAAGACCAGCAUAUUCCUCUAUCCCAUUAUUGGCUGGGCAAUGUAUUUGUUGGGUACUAUUCCUUUGAAACGAAUGGACAGCCGAAGCCAAUUGGAAUGUUUUAAACGGUGCAUGGAUCUUGUUAAGAAGGGAGCAUCUGUCUUUUUCUUUCCUGAGGGAACGCGGAGUAAAGACGGAAAAUUAGGUGAUUUCAAGAAAGGUGCAUUUAGUGUUGCAGCGAAGACCAGAGUACCUGUGGUACCUAUGACCCUGAUUGGAACUGGCAAAAUCAUGCCGGCAGGACACGAGCGCAUUGUAAAUUCAGGAUCUGUGAAAGUGGUUAUACAUAAGCCAAUCGAAGGUGGUGAUGCUGAAACCUUGCGCAAUGAAGCUAGAAGUACUAUAGCAAAAGUUCUGAAUUCUCAAGGAUGAGGAACUUAGUAAGACAAGUUCAGUUCCUUCUGCAAUCUGAGAAUUUAUUCCAUUUUUUUGCACAAUGGAGAGAUAAAAGGCGAUUGCAGAGGACAGAUUGUGCAGUACAAAAAUGUAGUUAAAAACAUUCUUCCUGUUUGGCGCGAUGUUGUGACUUGUUCACCUUACAACCACGAGAGCUGGUUUGAUUUAGUCAUGAACAGAUCACUGACUGCUAUAGAAGCUUUCAUCCCAUCCUUCCCCGCCCGGCAUGCUCUCCCAACCUGGCAUACCUGAGUUUAAAUGGUAAAGUUUCUCAAGGUUGAAAAAUGAUUGCGCACGUGUAUUAAACGUAAUGCAUUCCUUGUGAAUCGAAUUAUGGGAGGCUGCGAUCACAAACCGUAAUAUUUUUUUUUGGGUAUAUUGAAAGUGAAUGGAAGGGAGGUUCUCUGGAAAUUCUGUGAUAGCGAAUUUGAAAACUAUACGAACCAAAGCAAUUGAAUGUAUUAGUUUCCAUUUUGUAAUCGUUCUUUUCUUUUUUCGAGAAGUGGUAAUGCUUGUUCGGUUUCUUCA